rnacentral:rRNA from 1 species
CUGCUGCCUUCCGUAGGAGUCUGGGCCGUGUCUCAGUCCCAAUGUGGCCGUUCAACCUCUCAGUCCGGCUACUGAUCGUCGACUUGGUAGGCCGUUACCCCACCAACUAUCUAAUCAGACGCGAGUCCAUCCUUAGGCGCCUCAGCUUUGGUAUAUCUACGAUGCCGUUAAUAUACUUUAUAUGGUAUUACCGUCCGUUUCCAGACGCUAUCCCUUUCCUAAGGGCAGGUUACUCACGCGUUACUCACCCGUCCGCCA